rnacentral:rRNA from 1 species
GAUGAACGCUAGCUACAGGCUUAACACAUGCAAGUCGAGGGGCAGCGGGAUUGAAGCUUGCUUCAAUUGCCGGCGACCGGCGCACGGGUGAGUAACGCGUAUCCAACCUUCCGUACACUCAGGGAUAGCCUUUCGAAAGAAAGAUUAAUACCUGAUGGUAUCUUAAGCACACAUGUAAUUAAGAUUAAAGAUUUAUCGGUGUACGAUGGGGAUGCGUUCCAUUAGGUAGUAGGCGGGGUAACGGCCCACCUAGCCAACGAUGGAUAGGGGUUCUGAGAGGAAGGUCCCCCACAUUGGAACUGAGACACGGUCCAAACUCCUACGGGGAGGCAGCAGUUGAGGAAUAUUGGUCAAUGGACGAGAGUCUGAACCAGCCAAGUAGCGUGAAGGAUGAAGGUCCUACGGAUUGUAAACUUCUUUUAUAAGGGAAUAAACCCUCCACGUGUGGGAGCUUGUAUGUACCUUAUGAAUAAGCAUCGGCUAAACUCCGUGCCAG